rnacentral:tRNA from 1 species
GGCUGUGACUCAGUGGUAGAGGGCUUGCCUAACAUGUGUAAGGCACUGGGUUCAAACCUCAGCACCA